UUUGAGUGUUAAAAAUUCAGUACUUGAUUAGUAAUUGGUAUGUUCUUGAAAAUAAAAAGAUUUGGCGGUAUUUUAGUCUAUUCAGAGGAACCUGUCCUAUAAUUGAUAAUCCACGAUUAAAUGUACUUAUUUUAAAUUAGUUUGCAUAUCGCUGUCAAUUGAAUUUUUUAAAAGAAAAAUAAUAUUCAAGAUUUUUUUAGAAAAAAGAUCAGGUCAAGAUGUAGCUUAUAGAUAAGGAGAGAUGGGUUACAAUAAAAUUAUUUUUAUGGAGUAAUAGUUUUAAAAUAUUAUGAAAUUGGAUUUGAAAGUAAUUUUAAUAAUUUAGUUAAGAUGAUUUUAGCUCUAAAAUAUGC
rnacentral:rRNA from 1 species